rnacentral:rRNA from 1 species
GGAUGAACGCUAGGGGGAGGCUUAAUACAUGCAAGUCGAGCGGUAACUAAUUAAUAGCAAUAUUAGUUGGCUAGAGCGGCGCACGGGUGAGUAACGCGUACAUAACCUACCCUAUACUGGGGGAUAGCCUUGGGAAACUGAGAUUAAUACCCCAUGGUAUUGUUUGGCCACCUGGUUGAAUAAUUAAAGUUGCGGCGGUAUAGGAUGGGUGUGCGUCUGAUUAGCUAGUUGGUAGGGUAACGGCCUACCAAGGCUAUGAUCAGUAGGGGGCGUGAGAGCGUGGUCCCCCACACGGGUAC